rnacentral:misc_RNA from 1 species
AACGCACAUUGCGCCCAUUAGUAUUCUAGUGGGCAUGCCUGUUCGAGCGUCAUUAAAUCCACUUAAGCCCUGCUUAGUGUUGGGAGUCUACUGGAGCGGUGCUACCCGGGAGUUACCCUGUAGUUACCCUGUAGUUCCUUAAAGAUAACGGCGGAGUCGUGAUAUCCUCUGAGCUUAGUAAACUUACCUCUAGCUUUCGAGAAGAUCACUUCGCUUGCCGUAAAACACCCUUCUUUCUGAAUGGUUGACCUCGGAUCAGGUAGGAAUACCCGCUGAACUUAA